GAGAGGAUGGGAUGAGAGAAGUGGUAGAGAGAGUAGAAGUAAAGCGAGAGAGAGUAGAGGUAGAUUCUCCAUAGAUACAGAGGGUUAGAGAGGUUCUCCAUAGAUACAGAGGGUUAGAGAGGUUCUCCAUAGAUACAGAGGGUUAGAGAGGUUCUCCAUAGAUACAGAGGGUUAGAGAGGUUCUCCAUAGAUGCAGAGGGUUAGAGAAGUUCUCCAUAGAUACAGAGGGUUAGAGAAGUUCUCCAUAGAUACAGAGGGUUAAAGAAGUUCUCCAUAGAUACAGAGGGUUAGAGAGGUUCUCCAUAGAUACAGAGGGUUAGAGAGGUUCUCCAUAGAUACAGAGGGUUAGAGAGGUUCUCCAUAGAUACAGAGGGUUAGAGAAGUUCUCCAUAGAUACAGAGGGUUAGAGAGGUUCUCCAUAGAUACAGAGGGUUAGAGAGGUUCUCCAUAGAUACAGAGGGUUAGAGAAGUUCUCCAUAGAUACAGAGGGUUAGAGAGGUUCUCCAUAGAUACAGAGGGUUAGAGAGGUUCUCCAUAGAUACAGAGGGUUAGAGAGGUUAUCCAUAGAUACAGAGGGUUAGAGGGGUUCUCCAUAGAUACAGAGGGUUAGAGAGGUUCUCCAUAGAUACAGAGGGUUAGAGAGGUUCUCCAUAGAUACAGAGGGUUAGAGAGGUUCUCCAUAGAUACAGAGGGUUAGAGAGGUUCUCCAUAGAUACAGAGGGUUAGAGAGGUUCUCCAUAGAUACAGAGGGUUAGAGAGAUUCUCCAUAGAUACAGAGGUUCUCCAUAGAUACAGAGGGUUAGAGAGGUUCUCCAUAGAUACAGAGGGUUAGAGAGGUUCUCCAUAGAUACAGAGGGUUAGAGAGGUUCUCCAUAGAUACAGAGGGUUAGAGAGGUUAUCCAUAGGAUACAGAGGGUUAGAGAGGUUCUCCAUAGAUACAGAGGGUUAGAGAGGUUCUCCAUAGAUACAGAGGGUUAGAGAGGUUC